AUUGAACGCUGGCGGCAGGCCUAACACAUGCAAGUCGAGCGGAUGAAGGGAGCUUGCUCCUGGAUUCAGCGGCGGACGGGUGAGUAAUGCCUAGGAAUCUGCCUGGUCGUGGGGGAUAACGUCCGGAAACGGGCGCUAAUACCGCAUACGUCCUGAGGGAGAAAGUGGGGGAUCUUCGGACCUCACGCUAUCAGAUGAGCCUAGGUCGGAUUAGCUAGUUGGUGGGGUAACGGCCUACCAAGGCGACGAUCCGUAACUGGUCUGAGAGGAUGAUCAGUCACACUGGAACUGAGACACGGUCCAGACUCCGGCGGGAGGAAGCAGUGGGGAAUAUUGGACGAUGGGGGAAAGCCUGAUCCAGCAAUGCCGCGUGUGUGAAGAAGGUCUUCGGAUUGUAAAGCACUUUAAGUUGGGAGGAAGGGCAGUAAGUUAAUACCUUGCUGUUUUGACGUUACCAACAGAAUAAGCACCGGCUAACUUCGUG
rnacentral:rRNA from 1 species